rnacentral:tRNA from 1 species
GAGGGUACGGCUCAGUGGUAGAGCGCAUGCCUAGCGUGCGCAAGGUCCUGGGUUCAAACCCCAGUACUUCCA